UCACAAGCCUCUGCUAAUGUGUACAUAGUUUAUACUAAGUGACCCAUAGGUUGAGGAGGCGGUAACCGUGCUCCCCAACGAAAAGGCAACAACGCAUUCGUAUGUCAAUCCAUAUCAACUUUCGAUGCCAUUGACUGCGCCUACCAUGGUGACCACGGGUAACGGGGAAUCCGGGUUUGAUUCCGAUCAGGGACCCUGACAAACGGCUACCUCAUGCAAGGAAGGCAGAAUGACCCACUCCCGACGCGGGAAGGUAGUGACGA